rnacentral:rRNA from 1 species
GACGAACGCUGGCGGCGUGCCUAAUACAUGCAAGUCGAGCGGGCCUCCGGAGGUGCUUGCACCUCCGGAAGGCCAGCGGCGGACGGGUGAGUAACACGUGGGCAACCUGCCUUUGAGGCCGGGAUAACACCGGGAAACCGGUGCUAAUACCGGGUACGUCCUCUUUCGCGCCUGCGAGAGGGGAGAAAGACGGUCUUUAAGGCCUUCGCUUAAAGCGGGGCCCGCGGCGCAUUAGCUGGUUGGUGGGGCAAGGGCCUACCAAGGCGACGAUGCGUUGCCGACCUGAGAGGGUGAUCGGCCACACUGGGACUGAGACACGGCCCAGACUCCUGCGGGAGGCAGCAGUAGGGAAUCAUCCGCAAUGGGCGAAAGCCUGACGGUGCAACGCCGCGUGGGUGAGGAAGGUUUUCGGAUCGUAAAGCUCUGUUGUGAGGGAAGAACAGCAUCCGGAGGAAAUGCCGGAGGUUUGCCGGUACCUCACCAGAAAGCCCCGGCUAACUACGUGCCAGCCGCCGCAGUAACAC